rnacentral:rRNA from 1 species
UAAUACGUAGGUGACGAGCGUUGUUCGGAAUUAUUGGGCGUAAAGGGUUCGUAGGAUGUUUAUUAAGAUUGGUGUGAAAUCCCAAGGCUCAACCUUGGAACUGCAUUGAUUACUGAUGAACUAGAGUAUCGUAGAGGAAAGUGGAAUUCCAGGUGUAGCGGUGGAAUGCGUAGAUAUCUGGAAGAACACCGACAGCGAAGGCAGCUUUCUGGGCGAUAACUGACUCUGAGGAACGAAAGCAUGGGUAGCAAACAGG